rnacentral:rRNA from 1 species
GUAAUGGCAGGUCAGCAUACUGCCGUGAAUACGUUCCCGGGCCUUGUACACACCGCCCGUCACACCAUGAGAGUUGGAAAUACCCGAAGCCUGUGAGCUAACUUAAAGAGGCAGCAGUCGAAGGUAGAGCCAAUGAUUGGGGUGAAGUCGUAACAAGGUAAC